rnacentral:misc_RNA from 1 species
UCCUGGUUAACCCAGGCAGUCUCAUUAGAGUUCCCACCUUAACGUGUUGGCAACUAAUGAUAAGGGUUGCGCUCGUUGCUGGACUUAACCAAACACCUCACGGCACGAGCUGACGACAGCCAUGCAGCACCUGUGCAGAGGCCCCGAAGGGCUAUAACAUUUCUAUUAUAUUCCUCUGCAUGUCAAAUCUGGGUAAGGUUCUUCGCGUUGCAUCGAAUUAAACCACAUACUCCACUGCUUGUGCGGGUCCCCGUCAAUUCUUUUGAGUUUCACCCUUGCGAGCGUACUCCCCAGGCGGUAUACUUAUCGCGUUUGCUUCGGCACAACUAGGGUUGAAUCUAGUUACACCAAGUAUACAUCGUUUACGGCAAGGACUAC